AUAUGAACGGAUCGUUUUUAUACAGUGUCUGUGAUUAAUAAUCUGUGAUACAUAUUCAAGCUAUAAGGGAAGUCGUAAACCCCAGAAUCCUCUCAUUUUUGUACCUGGAUAUAGAAGGUUUCAAAACGGAGUCAACAUGAACUAUAGAAUAUUUAUAACUAUAAAACAUUGUUAAAUCCUAAUAACCCAAUCUAUGUUACAGUUUUAUUGAAGACAUCAAUGACUACAAAACAGUCCGCGAUAACUAUUACUAAUUGAAUAAAAUAAAUAAAAAGCCGGGUCUGUAACUGUUACAACAGUUACUCUGCUGAGUAAGUACUCUUUAGUAAGUUCAAAGUGUGCUAAACAAACUUCUUUAGACAAAAUAUCUAUGACAGAUAAAUGAGACUGACAGGCUGACUAUUUGAAAAAAGAAUUUAACAUCAUGUCUUCGAUGAUAAGCAUCUCGUAAUUUUUACAUCUAUUUUUAAUUUUUAAAAUUCUCUGUUAGUGAUUUCAAGAUAAUUCGGACAAAGCAAGAUUUGCAAUUCAAUUGUAAAACCUCUUUCGGGUUUUAUUGAAGUCAAAAAUGGGGAAGUGUGGGCGAAAGUAUGAUGUCUGUGAACUUGAAUUAUUAUUAGAAAUAUAUAUAUUUUAAAUUUAAUGAGUUUACCUCUUUCAGGAUGCGUAAAACGUAAGUUGGAUUAUAAGGUAUAAAUGUGACCUCAAAUUGUGAAUACCGUUAAUCUAUGUCGAUGUCAUAUGUGACAGUUAACAAUUGUAAACUGUUAAAAAUUUAAGUCUGCCAUCUGGGAAAUGCAACAAUUUCGCAUAAAUUGUAACAAAAACAGUUGAUUUGUUUUGUUAAUUUUUCACAAAAAUACAUACACUAUCCAUACAAUACAAAAACAAUACGUUUAUGUCGAAGAUAAAAAUAAUAAUAAUACAUAAAAUACACUAUAUCGCAACUGUAAACUUAGUCAGCGAAUAUACAAAGAUGUCGAUAGUCGGAGACAUUAUUCAGUAAGCACGACGUCUUUGUUAAUCUGUGCAACAUAUUAGCUCUGAGCAUCUCUCAUUGGCAUCGCAAACAAACUUGUCCAUCGCCAUCGCACAUAUCCAUUAGGUACAAAUCGCCCGAAGGGACACUUGGGUGCUCAAAACCCAUAUUCAUUUGAAAAAUGUAAUUAUAACAAUGGGUUAGUAAGCAAAACAUAUUUUAUGUAUUAUUCGUCUAAAGGUAAGGAAAUAUUAUUUUGUUUUAACUGAUUUUAUGACUUCAGUGUGUGACUCACAUCCCUGAGGUUCGAUCCCCUGCGGUCCCCCUAUGGACUUUAUAUUUUGUGGGCACAUCUAACAUUGAAAAUUAACAUCUUGAAGGAACAUUGGAAGGAAACCAGCGUUAUAUCUAAAAAUUCCACGGCGUAUCAGCUACAGAAGGCUGAUCAUCUACUUGCCUGUUAAAAAGCUGAGGCCCAGGACUAAAUGAUAGCGCCACUUUUUUGUAAACCAGUAAACCAUUACAACGGGAUUCCCCUAUAACGCUUUUUCGUAUAACGCGAUUUUCGUAUUUCCACGUUGCACAUAGUAUUAUACCUAUUUGAUAUUUCAGUGAUAGCCCUGCUUGGAGUUAUGUUUGGUUUAGUUUCUAGGUUUAACAUAAAUUGUACAGAAUCGAGCGUUUUUCUAAAAAGAAAUCCUUUACAAAUUACCCCCUAUACACUUCCAAAAUUGACAUUUUCCCCCUAUAUUUUGGGUAAUAACCCUGAAGUUGGCAUCACUGGACGAAAGCCGAGAAAUUGUGUACAUCCUUAGCGUUCAUACUGUAUCGCUAGCGAUUUUCAGAGUAUGAAGUCAUCGCGGUGAUUUUUUUCGUAGAUUACGCUGCCGGUCAAAGUCGGGCCGGUUUAAACGAUGUCGGUGUGGAGAUCGCCGUUAUUCAAUACGACCAAAAAGUCGUUGCCGACGAAGAUCGAGGUCGCGUCGGCGCAGAUCACGUUCUUGCCGAAGCCGGGGACGGUACAACUGGAGAUGCCGAUCCCGCUCAGGUAGAUUUAAAAGAUGCAAACGUUGUGAUCGAAGAUACCGUCUAAGGAAGAGGUCCGCUUCUUAAAUUCUCGUGGUUAGAGUAAAUUGGUACUAGAUUAAAGAAGCUCUGAGUGGUUGGUCUUAUAGAAAUAUCUCAAAGCUUCUUUAGUCCAAUUCACACGUGAUCCGUCUUCCCGUUGGAUGAAUCAAAAUCAAAGGAAACGCUUGAUUUUUCGUUUUAACCUUGUUAUAGAAUUUUUGUAGUAUGAGAUAAAUUGUUAUCGGUUUUAUUGUUUGGAAAUGUUUAAUUUAUUUUUUAUAAAUUAUAUUUUUAUUUUAUAUUAA